rnacentral:lncRNA from 1 species
UUUGUUAAACACUACGUGCGAUAAUUUUUAUAUUUGAAGCGUUUUGUUUAAACUAAAUGUUAAAAGUUUGUAGUGUCAAACGAUAUUUUUUAUUUAAAUGGAACGUUUUGUCAAACACCGGAAGCUACAAGUUUCCAAACGCUCUCAAAUACUUCGUGUCAAACACGCCCAUAGUGUUGCCAACAGUAGGGUGUUGGGUGCAACCUCCUAAAGCUUAUACCUGACAUAACAUGACAUGGUUGGAGAGUUAAAAGCCAUAGGAUUUUGUUAUUUUAUUAAAGUGAAAUGGCAAGUGGCUAAGUUUACAUUAUAAAGCAAGUAUUUUGAGUUGUAUGAGUGAGAGAAAAACCAAAACAAAAAUCAAUGAUACAAAUUUUGGUUUUUUAUAAACUGAAUUUGUCGAUUAGUUUCUUUCAUUGUAGAAAACCACACAUAGAAAAACCAAAAACUAUCUUAUAUUAAGUAACUAUAAAUUAGGCUUUUAAUGUUGGUGACAUUGUUCAAAAAAAAAUUCUAGAUCCACCAUUGCACGUGUCAUUAUGGAAAAAGGAUAAACUACGGUGUCUCUAAGUGUAGGUAGCAAAACCAAAGUAUGUUGCUAUUUCCCGCAAUAUUCCCUUUAUGAUAUAUGCUAUGAAGAGGUUCUUUGUCAUAUUGUCAAAUGUUACAUUUGAUGCUAGGAUUUAAUGUUGAUUUCUUGAAAGAAAUUUAAAUGAAAAUGAAGAAAAACAUGUUUGGUGAUAUGUAGUUCCAAUUUAGAGAAGCAUGUUUCAUCAAUGGAAGCAACAAAUCUAUGAUCACCCAAUGAAAGUAACACCUGUUAUAUCAAGGGAUUUCAUACCUAGGGAAGCAUGUUUCAUCAAUGGAAGCAACAAAUCUAUGAUCACCCAAUGAAAGUAACACCUGUUAUAUCAAGGGAUUUCAUACCUAGGGAAGCAUGUUUCAUCAAUGGAGGCAACAAUUCUAGAUCACCCAAUAUUGUAGUCUGACAAUAAACGUUGCAUCAGUUCCAAUUUCAUGAUGUUUUAUAUAUAUAUAUAUANNNNNNNNNNNNNNNNNNNNNNNNNNNNNNNNNNNNNNNNNNNNNNNNNNNNNNNNNNNNUAUAUAUAUAUUAAGCUUCUUUCAAGCCAACUCAGAUAAUUUACAGAAAAAUCCUUCAACUAAUGCUCAAAUUUGUUUAGAUCGGUUUGUUAUCGUGUGGACAAUAAUUUGGUGAUUUUGGUCUGAAAGUUACAAGACCAACAUAAAUUAAUCUCAAUGAAAUAAAUUGGUACAAUUUAGGUUUCAGCUACCAAAAUAUCACACAAGUACAACUUCUGUUUCUUGUAAUUAGAGUUGUAGAGAUCUAUUGAUAGCAUUAAGUAGAGCGUUACUUGACUUCUGAUGUAGCCUUUAAAUGGUCAUUUGAUAAUUUAAGAUGCUGAAAUGCAAAUUAGGGUGUACUCCUAGAAAGAUUCUUUGUGCAAAGGGUGAUAUUUUUUAUAGUCAAAUAACAAUAUUUUUCUUGCUUUGCAGGAAUAAACACAUGGAUAAAAUUUGAGUAUGUGGAGAGAAACAUGUAAAAAGCAAAAAGAUGAGAUUUUCCACUCAGAUUAACAUAGUCCCCACGAUUAGGGGAUCAAGUAUUUGAAGCAGUACCAAAUCAUUAACCAAGACCUAACUCUAUUCCAAUCUAAGAACAAGAUCUUUUAUAACAAUAACUCGUUCUUCGCUUAAAAAAACUAGAAAAUGCACGAAUGAAGAACUAAAUAAUAAGUAGAUUACCUGAUAAUUUAAUCUCUAUAUAAAUACCAAAUCUAGUAAAAAAAAUGUCAUGCAAAUACAAAAUCCAAAUAGUAGUAUAAAUAAGCACAAUAGCAGUACUAAAAAUUCAAAACAAUCAUUGCUACAUAUAUUUACUAAAUCUCAUCCAGAGUUUCCUCAAAAAACGUGAAAAACUUCCGUCUCCACUGCUUCUUGAACACUAAAACUCCAAUAACACCCCAAAACCCUGUUGCAAAACCACAUGCUACGUCCACAUAAUACCAUAUCUUCAACCAUACAUUUGUUGGUUCAUAAGCUGCUUCGUAUUUGUUCUCGGGGGUUGUUGUUGGGUCUUGAUGAUUUGAGCAAUUAUUCAGCAACGGAGCUCCACACAGAUCUUUGUUCCCGGCAUAUAUUGAUGGAUCAGUAAGUGUCUGCAAUUGAUUUCCCCUUGGAAUUCGUCCCCACAAGUUGUUGUGUGACAAAUUCAAAUGACUCAAAAAAGUCAAAGCUACCAUGCUUGGAGGGAUCAUCCCGGUCAACUCGUUUCCAGAUAAAUCGAGAGAAAAUAAUGACGUCAUGUUUCCGAUGUUGUCUGGAAUUCCCCCACUGAGAUAAUUGUUUGACAAAUUGAGACCCACCAACAUAGAAAGUGCAGUUAUCUCUACUGGUAUUUCUCCUACAAGUUUAUUGCUUGAAAGGUCCAUGUUAUAAACCAUAUCCCAAGUUGUUGAAUAUUCAAGAUCAACACCUUUCAUCACUUGAAUCACGUUUUGAUCAUAAUCAACCAGGUGAACAUGCCAAAUUCCUCUGCUAACCCUAACCAUGGCAUUUAAACCUCCUAGACAUUGAGGGAUUGUUCCAGUUAAGUUGUUGUAUGCAACAUCCAAUAUUUGCAGAUUUGAAGAUUUGCACAAAGAUCGAGGAAUUCUUCCGGUGAAGUUAUUUUUGUGCAACCUCAAAACAACCAAAUAUGCGAGCUUUUCUCCAAUCCAUUCAGGUAUGUUUCCCGAGAACUUAUUAUCACCCAAAUCUAAGACCAUUAAAUUUUGUAAACUCCCCAAUUCUCGAGGAACUUCACCAAUUAAGUCAUUGUCGUUCAAUUUUAACCACUCUAAUGACGAAGAAUUACGAAAUAUGGAAUUUGGAAUCACACCACACAGCCGAUUUGAGCUAAAUAUCAUGACAAACAGCUUUUGCAGAUUCUCAAGACAAUUUGGAAUUUUUCCGGUUAACCUAUUUCUGGAAAGGUCAAGAUAUUCCAAAUCUGUCCUUCUACACAAUGAACUUGGAAUCGACUCAUUGAAUAGAUUACUUUCCAGAAAUAAAGCCCGGAGAGCUCCAUAUUCAGACACAUACCCAUCAGGAAGGUUUGUCAAUGGUCCGCUGAGUUUGUUGUGGGAAAGAUCUAGAAAAGGAAUAUUGGGCAUCUUUUGCAACCAUGUGGGCAGAGUUCCUGAAAUUGAAGCAUUCGACAACACUAACCUCUCAAGUUUCCUUUGAUCUCGAAUCCACCGUGGAAAUCCAUUUGCAAUAUUGCAAGAACUAAGAUCAAGAUCCACCAAUUGGAAUGGAGGAAUCCACUCACAUGAAACAUUGAAUGCCAACUUGGUGUUAGAAGAAGCAUCCAAGUAACUCAACAUCGAAAGGUUAGCAAAAUGGGCUUCAGAAACUACUCCUAAAGAAUUGUUUGAGAUAUCUAAAUAUUCAAGUUUGACAAGUUGCCCAAACGAAACUGGAAUAGUUCCAUUUAACAGGUUUGAAGACACCGAAAUUGCUUGUAGUGAAACAAGUCUUCCUAGAGAUGCUGGUAUGGGGCCCAUUAACCUAUUGGAUCCUAGAUACAAAUUUGUUAAAGCUGAUAACUUUCCAAGGAAUGUGGGAAUGUAACCGGUUAGCUGGUUAUUAGAGAGAUCCAAUACUUCUAAAAAACUUAACCUUUUUAGAGAUAUGGAGAUUGGACCUGUCAAUCCACUGCUAGAUAGAUCCAAGACUCUUAAAUUGGCCAAUCUUCCAAGUGAUUUUGGAAUUGUACCGUUUACACUCCCAUGUAUAUCCAACAUCUCCAAAGCAUACUGGGAGCAAUAGCAUACAUUUUUUGGUGAGUCGAUCAUUUCUAUCUCAAAAUGAUUGUAUGAGGCACUCAGUUGUUUGAGGUGACACUGUUUCCAGAUUCCAAGGUGUUGAAUCUGCUUCAACUGGUUUCUAGAAACAUCAAGUUCAAGAAGGUUAUGCAUAAUAGGAACCGAAGAACUCAGCAUGUUUCCUGAAAGGUCAAGGACUUUUAGGGAACUCAUAUUUGUUAAAAUAGAUGGAAACAUGCCUUCAAUUGAAUUGACACUAAGAUCCAGGUGUUGGAUGUUUGAAAGUGUACUGAAAUUGAGAAAAGGGGAAGAAAGAAACGUGUUCUCAAGCCCACAACAUGACAGAUGCAGCUCAGAUAAAGAAGGGAUCAUGUUUAGCAACUUUGCAAAGUUCCAAUUCAAACUUAGAUCAAAGUAUGAAAGAUCGAGGAAUGCUAGGGAUGUCAUGUUCUGAAGAAAGCCAGGCAGUGGACCUUUGAAAGAAUUGAAGCUAAGAUCUAGGUAUUUGAUAUUGGAAAUUAUUCUACUCGAAUUAAGAAAAUCAGCAUUGGAAAGUCCACAUUCAGACAAACUUAACUCUUUUAAUGAAGGUAUCAUGUAAGGAACUAUGUCCAAGUUUUGUGCUCCACUAAGUUUCAUCCGACUGAGGUCGAGAUGCUCGAGUGACGAAAGGCCAAAAACCCAUGCCAUAUCAUCUGCCAUGAGCUCAUGGUUUGAACUGAGAUCAAGAACCUUUAAAUUAGAAAGGUUUCCAAUGUGAGGAGGAAUAAUACCUUGAAAACCAGCAUAAGAGAGAUUCAGGUACAUCAGCUGUUUGAAGGAUCCAAUGAACUCAGGGAUCCGGCUUCAACCAAAAUCAUUCCAACUCAAAUCUAAGUAUUUGAGAUUCCUUAGCUCUGCCAAAGAAGAGUUCACCUCAUUACCAAUUAAGUCAUUGAGAUGAAGGCUUUCAACAGUUCCAGUGAGACUGUCACACUGGAUUCCUUCCCACAUGCAACAGUCAUUGCCAGCCCAUGAUGACAACAUUCCAGAAAAAUCUUUCACACUCCCUUUGAACUUGAGAAGAGCGAGUCUCUCUUUCUGAGAACAAACAACAUUUACAUUUCCAGCACCGAAACAAGUAUUUGUAGUUGCAAACAAAAAAACACAUACGAAAACAAGAUGGAGCCCCAAAUCCCUGUGAUUCCCCAUUAUCAACCCCAACUCAGUUUAAUUUUGGAAGAAAUGAAGUGGAAAUAUAGGUUGUUAUGAUGAACUGAUGGGUUGUUAUGAUCGAGAAUAGUUCAUUUAUAAAUCCAUAUAAUGAAGAGCACCAUAUUGUCAUGGAGGACUUUGAAGUCAUGUGAACCAGAAUUGGAAGUCAAUUGGCAACCUAAUUUGUAUCCACAAACAAGUACACAUGGAACUUCUAACACACGCACACGCAUAUACAUACAUCACACAUCAUACAUCAUACAAUACAUACAUACAUACAUAUAAAUAUAAUUUCUUUUAACCUAGAACAAAUUACCAACAUUUUUUAAUCUGCAAUAUUUUAAUAAUUAAACCAGUUAUAUCAGAAUUUCAAUAAUUUUUCUCUUUAAUUUGAUAGCAAUAUUGUUAUGAAAUUUUUUGGAUUAUAGCGAAUUAGACAAUUAUUGUUAUUGAAUUUGGAGUUCUGGGUACAAACUAUGCCCCAUGGAAAACGUAAAUGUACUUGGCCACAAAUCUUCUUCACACAAAGACUUUGAAGUCAACAAAGUAAACCCCCUGAUUGCAAGUUGGGACUACAAUAGUGACAUGUUUGAUGCACAAAUCAUCUUUUGUAUGGAAAUUUCCAUGUAACUUCUCCCUAAUAAACAUAUCCCUCUUCGUUAUUAUUCUGAUACAAAUCUUGAUAUAGUAAUUCAAAAUUGCAAAUGAACCAAAACUGCUACAGCUCUAUUCUAGGAGUAAAAGGGUAAAUCAGGAAAAUAGCUAAAAUCUCCCCUCCCCUCCCCCUAUCGACAAUGCAUCCAGCACAUGAAGUCAUAAACACAUACAAAGAUUGAACUAGAAAGCAUAGAGACAUGAAGAGAUUGUGCAUUUCGUGUUAUAUAGUACAUGAAGUUUCUGCAACAUUAGCAUGUACUUCAGAAGGGCUCUGAGGCAAUGAAACAAAGUUCCAAGAUUAUUAGGAAAACCACAUUUAGAGAAAAUAAUGGCAAGCAUUUAAUGCUUAAAAGAAUUGCAACUUCACUAGGGAAGGACAAAAAAGAGCAGAAAUGGUUGAUAUUAUAUCUACCAUUAGGAGAGCAAGUGUACAGCAUAUUCAGAAUUUUGUAAAACACAAACAGACAAAAGCUAGUGAAAUCAAUUAAAAUUAGGUCAAACAGAAAAAAAAAAAUGAGAAACCUUACUGAGUGAACCGAGAAAUUAAGGAGAGAGAUGAGUGGCAAUGGAGGCUUAGCCUUUUCGCUGUCCUCACCACCUUCGCUGCUAGUGACUUUGAAGACGGUAGAGUUUGGGAAAGCUAUUAGUCCGUCGUCAAAC